GACGAACGCUGGCGGCGUGCUUAACACAUGCAAGUCGAACGGAAAGGCCUCUUUCGGGGGGUACUCGAGGGGCGAACGGGUGAGUAACACGGGAGUAACCUGCCCUGUACGUUGUGAUAACUUCAGGAAACUGGUGCUAAUACAGGAUAGGAGCUCCUGCUGCAUGGUGGGGGUUGGAAAGUUUCGGCGGUUGGGGAUGGACUCGCGGCUUAUCAGCUUGUUGGGGGGGUAGUGGCUUACCAAGGCUUUUACGGGUAGCCGGCCUGUGAGGGUGACCGGCGGCCUUGGGUCUUAGGUGAGGCACCGACUGGGACGGGAGGAAGAAGUGGGCAAGAUUGCUCCAGGGGUGGAAGGCGGAUGAAGCAGGGCCGCGGGCGGGAUGCUGCCUUUCGAGUUGAAGAAAGGUUUCGCUCAUGAACAAGCGUUGUGUGACGGUAGUGGGUAAAGAAGCACCGGCUAACUACGUG
rnacentral:rRNA from 1 species